GCCCCNNAUUCUACCACCCUUUGUGAACUUACCUUUGUUGCUUUGGCGGGCCGCGGGGUCUGUGGACCCCCCGUCGACUCCGGUGGACGUGCGCCCGUCAGAGGCCCCUUAACUCUGAUAAUUAGUGAAGUCCGAGUCGAAAUAUAAUCGUUAAAACUUUCAACAACGGAUCUCUUGGUUCUGGCAUCGAUGAAGAACGCAGCGAAAUGCGAUAAGUAAUGUGAAUUGCAGAAUUCAGUGAAUCAUCGAAUCUUUGAACGCACAUUGCGCCCCUUGGUAUUCCGGGGGGCAUGCCUGUUCGAGCGUCAUUACGCCUCUCAAGCCCAGCUUGGUACUGGGUGUCGUCCUCCUAGGGGCGCGCCCGAAAAUCAGCGGCGACGCGGUCGGUCUUCAAGCGUAGUAAAACUUCUGUUUCGCUUUGGAGCCCGGGCGCGUCCGCCGGACAACCCCCUAUUCUCAAUGGUUGACCUCGGAUCAGGUAGGGAUACCCGCUGAACUUAAGCAUAUCAAUAAG
rnacentral:rRNA from 1 species